CUGGAGCUCAGAGCCCUGGCCCGUCCUCAAGGAGAGGGUCAUUGCUGAAGCCCUGGGCAGCACUCAAUUAGUCAGGUCUUGACUCAACAGUAGUCAACAAAUAUUUAUGCAACAUAUUCUGUUCCAGGCUUCAAGUAUGCAGCGAUAACAACAUGAGCAAGGUUCCUGCACACGGGGUUCUAGAAGAACAGAGGUGCAAUCAAGCAAUUAAAAACAGUAGGCCAAGCCUCGGCAGCUAGAUGGUAUGUGCUAAAGAGGCGCCUGGUGAGAGACAGCCUAGGCAACCGGGGAGGGCUCCCUGGGGGACAGAAGCCAGUACCGAAGCCUGAAGGCCGACCUGGAGUUGGCUGUUCACCAGAAGGAAGAAGGGAAGAGCCUUCUCAGGCCUGAGAAUGGUGCCCUCUUGGGGGAGGCUGGCUGGAGCCCACGGGGAAGGGGGGUGGCACAAAGAGCUGGGGCUGCAAAGGUAGAAGGAACCAGCUCUGAAAGGACCUCACCAGCCUGUUAAGCCACUUGGACUCUGUCCUGUGGUGAUGGGGUGCCACCGAAGGGUCUUAGCCAGAGCAACAUAACACGCAGAAUGGAUUGGAGGGCAAGACUGGACACAGAGAGGUCAGGCGGUGGUGUCUCGGCAUGAAUGGUGCUUCUCUGUGCCCUGCACGGGGAUGAGGUUGGAGGUACAGGGCGAGGGGACAAGGUCCUUCUGGGACAGGUUGAAUUCCAGGUGUCCAUGGGACAUCAGGCCACUGCUUACAGCGCUCUGGGCCCCUGACCAGGGGCCUGGGGCAGAGUUUGAGACUAGUGGCCAGCUACAUGCAGAGCUAAUAGAAAGUGAGUUGAGGUGUGCAAUAGAGAAGCCACGGGCAGAGAAGGACCGGAGAAGAAGCUGUAAAGGAGGGAACCUGAUGCUUCAAGAAAGAUGUGGUCAACGGUGUGGCAUGCUGCUGGGGGCCAGGUAUGGCGAGGCCAGAAGAGCUUCCAAGAGACAGAGCAAAAGGAGGACAUUCGAGAGCCGUGGCGGGAGCAGUUUCCAUGGUGGCCGAGGAUGAAGAAUCUGAGGACAGUCAAGGCCACAGAGCUAGUGACUGGCAGCCGAACAGGCAGAGCCCAAGCCUAUGCGGCGGGUGUGGCCUGCAGGGCCCAGGUACUGCUCCCUUUCCAAGGUGAAGAACAGCAAUGAGUGUUUGUUUCCGCAGAAGUAGUCGGUUGGUCAUGAGCUUCCUGGUCUGGAUGGUUACUGUGUCGUUCAUGAUGGCGGCCAAACUUCAAGCGGCCAGGGAGGAAAAGCUAUUUUUAUUUCUUUCAGAUUUUAUUUUUAAGUAAUCUCUACACCCAACAUGAGGCUUGAACUUCCAACCCUGAGAUCAAGAGUCACACGCUCCAUUGACUGAGUCAGCUAGGUGCCCCAGGUUGUUUUGAUGGAAACACCACAAUGUCCAUCAAAGAGAGAGGGAGAAAAGAAGCCAUGCUGACUGUACAAUGAUUAAGUACGUGAAGUCAUUAUAAAAAGAAUGAAAUAGAGGUGUACGUACACUGACUUGGAACAAUGUCCCCAAUAAAACAUUAAAAUGAAAAAGGCAAGUGACAGGACAGUGAAGAAGAUAUUGUGGUUUACUGAGUUUCCUGGGACAAGUCACGUCCUUCCUCUCCUGUAAAAGCAACAGAGGACACAUUCACCCUUGCCUUGGAUGAAGUGGUGCUGUGACGGCAGAGGCCCAGAACCGUGGCAGCCUUUUUGUGCCAUGUAGGAAGACCCUAGAGCUGGUGAAGGGGGCAGGGGAGCAAACACUGAACGGAGCCUCAAGGGAAAGGUCACACAUCAAAAGACAGAAAACAGACAGAGAACCAGAUCUGUGAGGACACCGAGUGACGGUGCCAAUCCUUAAUUGAAGUCAGCAUGGUAUUUGGGCUUGUACAGUGACUGAACCUUCAAACUCCAUUUUGCUCAUUGGUUUAAGUCAAUUUUAGCUAGGUUUCCUUUCACUUCACAAGACUCUUUAUAAGGACAGGGAUAUUUGUUAUAGCUUCCUUUAUAAGCAACAUAUUAGAAAAUCUAAAUUUUCUUUAAAAAAGGAUUACAGAAGUAAUGGUACUUCUAACCAUGAAAUGCUAUGCAGCCAAAAUUUUUUCAAAAAAUAACUCUAUGUGUGGUGAUAUGAAAAGAUAUACUCAAGAUAGAUCAUUAAAUGAAAAAAAAAGAAGUGCAGAUUAUGUAAAGUGCGCUACCAUUUGUGUGAGGAAAAAUAAUGCAUAAACUUACAUGUUUAUACAAGUGCUUGAAAUAACUCUUGAAGGAGACUCAAGAAAUUGAUAACACUGGGGACCUGGCUAGCCAGGAAACUGAGCAGGAUACUUAUUUUUCACUGUACACCCUUUUUUCCUUUUGAAAUUUUAUACCAUGUGCAUGUAAUGCCUGUUCAAAAAAUAAAGUUGCUUAAAAAAAUUCUUUUUUAAAGGAAAAAAACUCCUAAAUGAUAGAGUAGGCACACGGGAAUAUUUUUAACUGUCACACGCACCCACAUGCACACACAAGUUGUGUGUCUACAUGUUCCAGAAAGUCUGGAAGGAGAUGCAGCAAACUGCCCACAGCGGUUACCCCAGGGAGAGGAGCCGGAGCGUGCCUGCGGGCAGUGGGGAACGGUUAACCAGCUGAAAGGUCACUCCACGCUGACUUUUCUUACCAGGCGCUGUUCUAAACUUUACAAGCAUCAGGUCGUGUCAUCCUUACCCUAGCAGCUGAGGAAGAUCAGCUCCAUCACCCUAAAUUAACAGAUGGGGAUGUAGAGGCCCAAAGGGGUUCGGUCAUCUGCUCAACUCCCCCCCACCCCCCAGGGAGCUCAGGGCUGGUGAGCCUUGGGGCGGGGAGGGGGUCGGCUGGGGUCGGCGGGGGCCAGUUAAACGUCUCACCCCUCACCCGCGGCACUACCCCUGCCCUGCCGGCUCCCCGGUAGGGCUGCGGGGCCCCGAGGCAAUGAGGGGUGCAGGAAAAUCCCUCCGUGCCCUCUUGUCACUGAAGCCCUUCCCACGCCACCCUCCAGGGCCACCGAAAGGGUGGCAGCCCUCGCUGGUGUCUUCCUUCUCCCCUGUUGCAGGUUGCUGCCAGAAAUCACUCCCUUGCCCCCAUCCCCUUAUCUCAGCUGGGAAACGGGAACCUGGAGGCUAUUAAGGCCCCCACCGAACUGCAUCGUGCUUAAGCUCUGGUCACAUGCUCCAUACAGCUUGGGAAAUGCAAUCUAAAGGGUUUGUAAGAUUUAGUGCCCAUGAGGGUGGAGGAAGAGGGUGCUCCGGUGGGACGGAUGCUUUCGCUGGGGACAGUUGUAUAUGAUCCAACCCACUUAGGAAUGCACGUACUUCCAGAACUAACCAUUCCACUUUUAGGACGGUAUCCUACAGAAAUACUUGAACAAGUGUGCUGUCGGCAGGCAGCAUUCCCAUAAUAGUUAAGGGCCAUGAAAUUCUGGGCAGCUGUCAAAGGGAAUGAGGUAGCCCUGACUUACGAGCAGGCACAGAGACGCCGUGGUAGACUGUUGGAAAGACAAGCUACAAAGCAGUAUGUAGAUACAACCCAAGUUUUUUAAAAACACGAUAAAAACAGUGUGUAUGGAAACAUGUAUACAUAGAAAAUGGUCUGGGGCGCCUGGGUGGCACAGCGGUUAAGCGUCUGCCUUCGGCUCAGGGCGUGAUCC